CAGUCGCCGCGGUAACACGUAGGUGGCAAGCGUUGUCCGGAGUUAUUGGGCGUAAAGGGCUCGCAGGCGGUUUCUUAAGUCUGGUGUGAAAGCCCCCGGCUCAACCGGGGAGGGUCAUUGGAAACUGGGAAACUUGAGUGCAGAAGAGGAGAGUGGAAUUCCACGUGUAGCGGUGAAAUGCGUAGAGAUGUGGAGGAACACCAGUGGCGAAGGCGACUCUCUGGUCUGUAACUGACGCUGAGGCGCGAAAGCGUGGGGAGCAAACAGGAUUAGAUACCCGCGUAGUCCCUGUCUCUUAUAC
rnacentral:rRNA from 1 species